rnacentral:rRNA from 1 species
UACGGGGGGGGGGCAAGCGUUGUUCGGAAUUAUUGGGCGUAAAGAGCUCGUAGGCGGUCUGUUGCGUCGGCUGUGAAAACCCGGGGCUCAACUCCGGGCCUGCAGCCGAUACGGGCAGACUAGAGUUCGGCAGGGGAGACUGGAAUUCCUGGUGUAGCGGUGAAAUGCGCAGAUAUCAGGAGGAACACCGGUGGCGAAGGCGGGUCUCUGGGCCGAUACUGACGCUGAGGAACGAAAGCGUGGGGGAGCGAACAGG